rnacentral:lncRNA from 1 species
GGAGAUUGACUUAAUCUGUUAAUAUUAGUGCGCUUUAUUUUAUAGUUAUAUUUUGAACAUUUAAUCAUUUAUUAUUAUUAUUAUUAUUAUUUAUUUCAGGUACUUUUUGAGUUCAACUUGAAAUCAUUAAAAAAAAAAAAAAAGAUUGUGAGGGCUUCAUACCACUAACCAACCAAAAGGAAACAAUAGAAAGCGCUAGCCACAAACAGCCAGCUUGCAAGAAAGAAAGAAAAAAAAAAGAAAAAAAAAAGGAAACAAGGAGCUUUUUCGCGCAGCCAUCAGGAAGUCAAUUCCCAUUUCAAUUCAACUUCCUUUUUCUUGUUCAAAUUAAAACUUUCCAAUUUCCUUUGAGUUUUAUAAUUCAAGUUUCUUUUCCUAAUUGUGUUUGGGUUUUGUUUCCUUC